CCUAAUACAUGCAAGUCGAGCGCACCUUCGGGUGAGCGGCGGACGGGUGAGUAACGCGUGGGAACGUGCCCUUUGGUACGGGAUAACUGAGGGAAGCUUCAGCUAAUACCGUAUGUGCCCUACGGGGGAAAGAUUUAUCGCCAUUGGAGCGGCCCGCGUUGGAUUAGGUAGUUGGUGGGGUAAAGGCCCACCAAGCCGACGAUCCAUAGCUGGUCUGAGAGGAUGAUCAGCCACACUGGGACUGAGACACGGCCCAGACUCCUACGGGAGGCAGCAGUAGGGAAUCUUGCGCAAUGGGCGAAAGCCUGACGCAGCCAUGCCGCGUGAAUGAUGAAGGUCUUAGGAUUGUAAAAUUCUUUCACCGGGGAAGAUAAUGACGGUACCCGGAGAAGAAGCCCCGGCUAACUUCGUGCCAGCAGCCGCGGUAAUACGAAGGGGGCUAGCGUUGCUCGGAAUUACUGGGCGUAAAGGGCGCGUAGGCGGAUGUUUAAGUCGGGGGUGAAAGCCCGGGGCUCAACCUCGGAAUUGCCUUCGAUACUGGACAUCUUGAGUACGGGAGAGGUGAGUGGAACUCCGAGUGUAGAGGUGAAAUUCGUAGAUAUUCGGAAGAACACCAGUGGCGAAGGCGACUCACUGGCCCGUUACUGACGCUGAGGCGCGAAAGCGUGGGGAGCAAACAGG
rnacentral:rRNA from 1 species